rnacentral:rRNA from 1 species
AUACGGAGGAUCCGAGCGUUAUCCGGAUUUAUUGGGUUUAAAGGGUGCGCAGGCGGGAGAUUAAGUCGGCGGUGAAAUUUUGCAGCUCCACUGGAAAAAAGCCUUCGAAACCGGGUUUCUUUGGUGUGGGGGGAGUAGGCGGAAAUUUUGGGGUAGAGGGGAAAUGCAUAGAUAUCACGAGGAACUCCGAUUGCGCAGGCAGCUUACUAAACCAUAACUGACGCUCAGGCACGAAGGCGUGGGGAUCAAACAGGAUUAGAUACCCUGGUAGUCCACGCAGUAAACGAUGAUUACUAGCUGUUUGCGAUACAAUGUAAGCGGCUGAGCGAAAGCGUUAAGUAAUCCACCUGGGGAGUACGUUCGCAAGAAUGAAACUCAAAUGAAUUGACGGGG